UUUACUCUUUGCUUAAAUUUCCCUUUUUAUCCUUAAGUUCAACUACUCUGACAUUAGAACCCUAAUCUAUUACAAUCCCUCUUCUAUCAAAGCAACCUUGUCCUUAAGGUUGCAUCUGAGGCACGAACUAAGGGAAGCAAAUAUAGAUGGAACUCCAGUCCUCCCAAGUAGAUUCGUUCAUCCCAAGAUUCGCCUACUGGACCAACACCCAAAUUGAUGUUGUGUUGUUGACCUUCACUGUUCGCCAUCAUAAAAGGGCCAAUGAUUUCAUGAGUAUUUGUCCUUCACCAUUACAGCUAGGUGACUAUUGUUGGGAGCCUAUAUCUAGACCUAUGUUUCUUGAUCUAACAAAUAUGAAAUAUCAAGUGGAUCUGCGGCCUCAGUGAAAACUCCAAACUGUACACCAUUGUUACUUUCUUUACCAGUCCAACCACCAAAUUAUCCAGCUUGCAUAUUGGGUGGGGCGCCAAUAUGUCAUCUCUGUUUGGUCCCAACCUUUUCAUUAGCAUAUCCAAUUUCUUUUCAAGGUGAUCAAUAUUCACAUCAGUGGCCUUCGCCUUCUAAAAUACAACUGCUAAAUAAGAAGUGAACCAAGAUUUCAACUUUUUCAAGCCUUCCUUCAUGGCUUUGGAUCAUAUUUUUGUAAUCGUCAUUUGUAGGGCCAAAAUCUUGCUUUGAUAUCAAUUUGUAAUGUACUUAAGAACUCAAUACACAAUUAGGGUUAAAUUAUAGUUUAUUCCAUCAA